rnacentral:rRNA from 1 species
UACGAAGGGGGCUAGCGUUGCUCGGAAUGACUGGGCGUAAAGGGCGCGUAGGCGGCUUGUAGAGUCGGGUGUGAAAUUCCUGGGCUUAACCUGGGGGCUGCGUUUGAUACGUGCAGACUUGAGUUCGGAAGAGGGUCGUGGAAUUCCCAGUGUAGAGGUGAAAUUCGUAGAUAUUGGGAAGAACACCGGUGGCGAAGGCGGCGACCUGGUCCGAUACUGACGCUGAGGCGCGAAAGCGUGGGGAGCAAACAGG